rnacentral:rRNA from 1 species
AUUGUCGAAUCCUGCAAAAGCAGCACGACCGCGAACCCGUUAUGCCUUCUCGGGAUCGGGCGGUCGGCGGCUCGCCGCCCCCCGCUCGCGUCCCGAUCCGGGGCCCCUGGCCCCGAACGAACGAACCCCGGCGCGGGCCGCGCCAAGGAAUACGUACAACGAGGGCCUCUCCCUCCCCGUCCCGUUCGCGGGCCGCGGGGUGGGGCGAUGGCUUCUCUCGGAACACGAACGAACGACUCUCGGCAACGGAUAUCUCGGCUCUCGCAUCGAUGAAGAACGUAGCGAAAUGCGAUACUUGGUGUGAAUUGCAGAAUCCCGUGAACCAUCGAGUCUUUGAACGCAAGUUGCGCCCGAAGUCGUCAGGCUGAGGGCACGUCUGCCUGGGCGUCACGCAUCCCGUCGCCCCCUCCACCCGCGGAGGGGGACGGAUUCUGGCCUCCCGUGCCCCUCGGGCGCGGCUGGCCGAAAUGGUGGUCCGUCACGACUGGACGUCACGACAAGUGGUGGUUGGUCAUCUCAACUCUCGUGCUGUCGUGGCACUCCCGUCGUGCGUCGUGGACCGACGAGACCCUGAAGCGCCGUCCCUCGCGUUGGCGAGGCGCCGCGACCGCGAAGCGACCCCAGGUCAGGCGGGGUUACCCGCUGAGUUUAACUUCAUA